rnacentral:rRNA from 1 species
GCAGAGCAUCCUACGGGAGGCAGCAGUGGGGAAUAUUGCACAAUGGGCGCAAGCCUGAUGCAGCCAUGCCGCGUGUAUGAAGAAGGCCUUCGGGUUGUAAAGUACUUUCAGCAGUGAGGAAGGUGGAUAUGUUAAUAGCAUAUUCAUUUGACGUUAGCUGCAGAAGAAGCACCGGCUAACUCCGUGCCAGCAGCCGCGGUAAUACGGAGGGUGCGAGCGUUAAUCGGAAUUACUGGGCGUAAAGCGCAUGCAGGUGGUUGUUAAGUCAGAUGUGAAAGCCCGGGGCUCAACCUCGGAAUUGCAUUUGAAACUGGCAAACUAGAGUACUGUAGAGGGGGUAGAAUUUCAGGUGUAGCGGUGAAAUGCGUAGAGAUCUGAAGGAAUACCGGUGGCGAAGGCGGCCCCCUGGACAGAUACUGACACUCAGAUGCGAAAGCGUGGGGAGCAAACAGGAUUAGAUACCCUGGUAG